rnacentral:tRNA from 1 species
UCCCUGAUGGUUCAGUGGUUAAGACUCUGCAUUUCCAGUGCAGGGGGUGUGGGUUUGAUCCCUGGUCAGGGAA